rnacentral:misc_RNA from 1 species
CCGCCCACUUCCGCAUUUCGCAUGCACACCAAAACCCAUACAUGCAAUAUGUAUGAGGAAAUUGUAUUUUUACGUGUAAUCUGUAUUGCGACCUGUGUUGUUUGGAAUCUAAACCUGCACGAACUUGAUAAACCAUCACUUGAUUUUUGCAACAAACAACAUCAUUGUGGCGGUUGCCACUUAAGGAAUAGAUACCUUGGAGUGUACUGAUUUGCUGGAGUAGGUGGUUUGGUGCAUUCGAGAGGAAAGAUGAUCAAGAAAGACGCGAUGAGGCGGCAGAUGAACCGCCUGAGACAGCGGGCGAACCAGAAUUUGGGAAGAGCGGAGAAAACAGAAGUACUGAAUGAUGAAUUAUUACAAUGUGAGAAACGAACUGAACAUAUAAAACACACGUGUCAGAACAUUACAAAGAAGCUCUCAGCAUGUCUUAUUGGCUCAGGAACAGACGUGGAGAAAAGAACGAAAAAGCUUCCGCACUCUGUGCUUUCUCAGAGUAUGAAUGAGAUGAGUGUUGAAUUAGGAGACACAACAUUAUUAGGGUCUAUGUUAGUCAAAACUUCUGAAGCAUGUGCAAACAUAGCGCAGGAACUAACCAGUCAUGAAAUGGGUUUAGAAAACCUGAUCCUCAUCCCAUUCAACUCAGUCCUAGAGGAAAGCAUCCCUCAAAUCCAAAGUAACAAAAGAAGAUUAGUCAGACUGACCCUGGAUCUGGAUUCGGCUAAAAACAGGUUUCACAGUGCUUCCAGGCAAACAGCAUUAGGGAAAGGCAACUUCCAGGAGCAAGCAGCAAAAAUAGAUGCCAUCAAAGAGGAAUUAGAUGAUGCCCAAACUAAAGUAGAACAAUGCAAGGAUGCGUUAGUCACAGACAUGCUGAAUCUAGUAUCAAAAGAAAGUCUUCUGUCCAGGAGUUUAAUGGAUAUGGUAGCAGCACAGGCACAGUACCACCGCAAUGCCCUAGCCAGACUAGAAAACAUGGUCCCAAAGAUGAGGGAGACCUUGGACCGGGACCAGCACAAGCCUACGUUUGGGACCCACCUUGAGGAGCAUCUGAGGCUGCAGGACCGGGAGAUUGCGGCUCCCAUCGAGGUCCUGGUCAUGUGGCUCCUAGAGCUUGGUAUCGAGGAAGAGGGCCUCUUUAGGUUGGGUGGGAACCAGUCCAAGAUGAAACUUCUCAAGGCCGCCUUUGAUGCCAAUAUUGAGCUUGAUUUAGUGGACUUUGAAUUCCAAGAACACUCCAUUGCUGCUGUACUGAAGCUGUAUUUGAGAGAACUUCCUGCUCCUUUAUUGACCUUUAACCUUUAUUCUGAGUUCAUUGAAGCUGGCAGCGUCAAAGAUCCGAACCAGAAGAAAGAGGCCUUGAAGAAGGUUGUCCAGAAACUCCCAAAAUGCAACUACGACAACUUACGGUAUCUUUGUCGGUUCUUGAAGGUAGUAGCAGACAGGAGCGAUAAGAACAAGAUGAACUCAUCAAAUCUUUCACUAGUAAUAGCACCAAACAUGCUCUGGUCAGAGAAGGAUGAUUUAGGGACAUCAAUAGGGGCGGCACCAGGCAUCGUAGAGUCCUUCAUCUCACACGCAGAAUGGUACUUUCCAGGAGAGAUGGAUUUCCCGGUGCCAUUACCGCCGACACCCUCACCGAAAACCAACUCGAUACCAGAAUCCAACUCGCUCUCGCCGAAGACUCCCGAUGGGACCACGCCUUCUUCGGUAUCCGCCUCCAACGCCACGACGACCCAUUCCGUCCCUUCAUCGCACCCUCCCCUAGGUCCCCCGCCCGGCCCCCCACCGGGUCCCCCGCCCAACCCUCCUACCGCCAUUCCACCCCCUCCCUCGCAGACUACUGCACCUUUGGUCACCAUAGACGGCAUCGGUCCACCUGAAAACCACAGCCCCGCCGGUCACAACCAACCUGGAGUCAACUUCACCAAACGAAGAGCACCUCUGCCACCACCACCGCCUAAGCCCCACAAGGGUGACCGUCCGCCCCCCUCCAGCACCCCUAAGAGUCCAGUCUACCCACCCCCUCGCCCACCGCCCAAAACCAACUCACUCUAGGACCACUAGCCGUCCGUAGUGCCUCCUUGUAGCGAUGCAUGCAGCAUGUCCAUUGUUUAGACCCAUCAGAAACUCUACACUUCCUAGGAAGUCAGUAAAGAGAGCCCACGCCCCUCCCCCACCCGUCAGUGUAUCGCCGAGCCCAUCA